rnacentral:rRNA from 1 species
CCUACGGGUGGCUGCAGUGAGGAAUAUUGGUCAAUGGACGAGAGUCUGAACCAGCCAAGUAGCGUGAAGGAUGACUGCCCUAUGGGUUGUAAACUUCUUUUAUAUAGGAAUAAAAUGUUCCACGUGUGGGAUUUUGUAUGUACCAUAUGAAUAAGGAUCGGCUAACUCCGUGCCAGCAGCCGCGGUAAUACGGAGGAUCCGAGCGUUAUCCGGAUUUAUUGGGUUUAAAGGGAGCGUAGGUGGAUUGUUAAGUCAGUUGUGAAAGUUUGCGGCUCAACCGUAAAAUUGCAGUUGACACUGGCAGUCUUGAGUACAGUAGAGGUGGGCGGAAUUCGUGGUGUAGCGGUGAAAUGCUUAGAUAUCACGAAGAACUCCGAUUGCGAAGGCAGUUCACUGGACUGCAACUGACACUGAGGCUCGAAAGUGUGGGUAUCAAACAGGAUUAGAUACCCUAGUAGUC